UACGAGAGGCCCAAACGUUAUUCGGAAUUACUGGGCUUAAAGAGUUCGUAGGCGGCAUUGCAAGUAGGGUGUGAAAGCCCUCGGCUCAACCGAGGAAUUGCGCUCUAAACUGCAGUGCUUGAGGACCUAGAGGUGAGCAGAACAGAUGGUGGAGCGGUGAAAUGCGUUGAUAUCAUCUGGAAUACCGGAGGCGAAGGCGGCUCACUGGGAGUUUUCUGACGCUGAGGAAC
rnacentral:rRNA from 1 species